AAGAUGGACAGCUGGAAGUGGAGAGCUUUGGCAUUUGCUUACAAAUUUACUCUUCUAUAAUUGAUUUUGUCUUCUAGCCAAUCUAUUGCAUAUCAUCAAUACAUAUGUCAUGAAUUUUAUUGUAGAGAAUGGAAAAAAGAUUCAGAACAUUUUUAUAGGGACACUUAUCAGAGCGAAUACUACUACAAUCAGGAGCUAUGGCAGCUCUUGCUACGGUAGUGGUUCCAAAAUCACUGUUGUAGUAUCUAUAAUAGCAAUUAUCACUAACCACUGUC
rnacentral:lncRNA from 1 species